UACGAAGGGGGCUAGCGUUGCUCGGAAUCACUGGGCGUAAAGCGCACGUAGGCGGAUCUUUAAGUCAGGGGUGAAAUCCUGGAGCUCAACUCCAGAACUGCCUUUGAUACUGGGGAGCUCGAGUCCGGAAGAGGUGAGUGGAACUCCGAGUGUAGAGGUGAAAUUCGUAGAUAUUCGGAAGAACACCAGUGGCGAAGGCGGCUCACUGGUCCGGUACUGACGCUGAGGUGCGAAAGCGUGGGGAGCAAACAGG
rnacentral:rRNA from 1 species